AACGCUAGCUACAGGCUUAACACAUGCAAGUCGAGGGGCAGCAUGGUCUUAGCUUGCUAAGGCCGAUGGCGACCGGCGCACGGGUGAGUAACACGUAUCCAACCUGCCGUCUACUCUUGGACAGCCUUCUGAAAGGAAGAUUAAUACAAGAUGGCAUCAUGAGUCCGCAUGUUCACAUGAUUAAAGGUAUUCCGGUAGACGAUGGGGAUGCGUUCCAUUAGAUAGUAGGCGGGGUAACGGCCCACCUAGUCUUCGAUGGAUAGGGGUUCUGAGAGGAAGGUCCCCCACAUUGGAACUGAGACACGGUCCAAACUCCUACGGGAGGCAGCAGUGAGGAAUAUUGGUCAAUGGGCGAGAGCCUGAACCAGCCAAGUAGCGUGAAGGAUGACUGCCCUAUGGGUUGUAAACUUCUUUUAUAAAGGAAUAAAGUCGGGUAUGGAUACCCGUUUGCAUGUACUUUAUGAAUAAGGAUCGGCUAACUCCGUGCCAGCAGCCGCGGUAAUACGGAGGAUCCGAGCGUUAUCCGGAUUUAUUGGGUUUAAAGGGAGCGUAGAUGGAUGUUUAAGUCAGUUGUGAAAGUUUGCGGCUCAACCGUAAAAUUGCAGUUGAUACUGGAUAUCUUGAGUGCAGUUGAGGCAGGCGGAAUUCGUGGUGUAGCGGUGAAAUGCUUAGAUAUCACGAAGAACUCCGAUUGCGAAGGCAGCCUGCUAAGCUGCAACUGACAUUGAGGCUCGAAAGUGUGGGUAUCAAACAGGAUUAGAUACCCUGGUAGUCCACACGGUAAACGAUGAAUACUCGCUGUUUGCGAUAUACGGCAAGCGGCCAAGCGAAAGCGUUAAGUAUUCCACCUGGGGAGUACGCCGGCAACGGUGAAACUCAAAGGAAUUGACGGGGGCCCGCACAAGCGGAGGAACAUGUGGUUUAAUUCGAUGAUACGCGAGGAACCUUACCCGGGCUUAAAUUGCAGAUGAAUUACGGUGAAAGCCGUAAGCCGCAAGGCAUCUGUGAAGGUGCUGCAUGGUUGUCGUCAGCUCGUGCCGUGAGGUGUCGGCUUAAGUGCCAUAACGAGCGCAACCCUUGUUGUCAGUUACUAACAGGUUCCGCUGAGGACUCUGACAAGACUGCCAUCGUAAGAUGUGAGGAAGGUGGGGAUGACGUCAAAUCAGCACGGCCCUUACGUCCGGGGCUACACACGUGUUACAAUGGGGGGUACAGAGGGCCGCUACCACGCGAGUGGAUGCCAAUCCCCAAAACCUCUCUCAGUUCGGACUGGAGUCUGCAACCCGACUCCACGAAGCUGGAUUCGCUAGUAAUCGCGCAUCAGCCACGGCGCGGUGAAUACGUUCCCGGGCCUUGUACACACCGCCCGUCAAGCCAUGGGAGCCGGGGGUACCUGAAGUGCGUAACCGCGAGGAGCGCCCUAGGGUAAAACUGGUGACUGGG
rnacentral:rRNA from 1 species